rnacentral:lncRNA from 1 species
UGAGAGUUUUUCAUCUGAAUGUCAUGUAGUUGAAAUAGAAUUCCAAAAUGUCACUUACAAAAAUUUUUCUAAAAAUGCCAUUUUUUUAUUUUUUUAAUAUUAUUUUGACUGAUUCCAUCUGGAGUAGCCGACGCGUCAGAGACUCAGUUGAGGUCCGUCAUCCCAGAUGGAGACCCUCCUUUUUUUUUCGUUUUUAAUUUUUG